AAUAGAUACCCUGGUAGUCCACGCCGUAAACGAUGGAUACUAGGUGUCCGGAUGUUUAACCGUCUGGGUACCAAAGCUAACGCAUUAAGUAUCCCGCCUGGGGAGUACGGUCGCAAGGCUAAAACUCAAAGGAAUUGACGGGGGCCCGCACAAGCGGUGGAGUAUGUGGUUUAAUUCGAAGCAACGCGCAGAACCUUACCUGGGCUUAACAUUUAUCGACAACCCCAGAGAUGGGGCUUCCACUUCGGUGGCGGUAGGAUAGGUGCUGCAUGGCUGUCGUCAGCUCGUGUCGUAAGAUGUUCGGUUAAGUCCGGCAACGAGCGCAACCCCUGUCCUUAGUUACCAGCAUUAAGUUGGGGACUCUAGGGAGACUGCCGGUGUUAAACCGGAGGAAGGCGGGGAUGACGUCAAGUCCUCAUGGCCCUUAUGUCCAGGGCUACACACGUACUACAAUGGCAGAAACAGAGGGCAGCAAAACCGCGAGGUUGAGCUAAUCCCAAAACACUGUCCCAGUCCGGAUUGGAGUCUGCAACUCGACUCCAUGAAGUUGGAAUCGCU
rnacentral:rRNA from 1 species